ensembl:rRNA 5S_rRNA 5S ribosomal RNA
AGUCCCAUACCACCCUGAAAGUGCUCAAUCUGCUCUGAUUUCGGAAGUUAAGCAGGGUCAGGACUGGUCAGUACUUAGAUGAAAGAAAAGCGAAGCACAAAGAAGGUACAACUU